rnacentral:rRNA from 1 species
AGCAGCCGCGGUAAUUCCAGCUCCAAUAGCGUAUAUUAAAGUUGUUGCAGUUAAAAAGCUCGUAGUUGAAUUUUAGGCCUGGCCGGGCGGUCCGUCUUUGGCGAGUACUGUCUUGUUGUCGGGUCUUCCUUCUGGUGAACCAGUAUGUCCUUUAUUGGGUGUGUUGGGGAGCCAGGACCAUUACCUUGAAAAAAUUAGAGUGUUUAAAGCGGGCUAUUGCUUGAAUAGAUUAGCAUGGAAUAAUAGAAUAGGACGUUGUGGUUCUAUUUUGUUGGUUUCUAGGACCACCGUAAUGAUUAAUAGGGAUAGUUGGGGGCAUUAGUAUUCAAUUGUCAGAGGUGAAAUUCUUGGAUUUAUUGAAGACUAACUAUUGCGAAAGCAUUUGCCAAGGAUGUUUUCAUUAAUCAAGAACGAAAGUUAGGGGAUCGAAGACGAUCAGAUACCGUCGUAGUCUUAACCAUAAACUAUGCCGACUAGGAAUCGGGCGACGUUAUUUUCACGACUCGCUCGGCGCCUUAUG